rfam:Deltaproteobacteria bacterium RBG_16_48_10 RBG_16_scaffold_13257, whole genome shotgun sequence.
GAGGGACAGGCCCCUCGAAGCCGGUUUACAGGAGCUGGCUUCAAACCGCCUUAAGCUGCAUGGGU